rnacentral:rRNA from 1 species
AUUGAACGCUGGCGGCAGGCCUAACACAUGCAAGUCGAGCGGAUGAAGGGAGCUUGCUCCUGGAUUCAGCGGCGGACGGGUGAGUAAUGCCUAGGAAUCUGCCUGGUAGUGGGGGAUAACGUCCGGAAACGGGCGCUAAUACCGCAUACGUCCUGAGGGAGAAAGUGGGGGAUCUUCGGACCUCACGCUAUCAGAUGAGCCUAGGUCGGAUUAGCUAGUUGGUGGGGUAAAGGCCUACCAAGGCGACGAUCCGUAACUGGUCCGAGAGGAUGAUCAGUCACACUGGAACUGAGACACGGUCCAGACUCCUACGGGAGGCAGCAGUGGGGAAUAUUGGACAAUGGGCAAAAGCCUGAUCCAGCCAUGCCGCGUGUGUGAAGAAGGUCUUCGGAUUGUAAAGCACUUUAAGUUGGGAGGAAGGGCAGUAAGUUAAUACCUUGCUGUUUUGACGUUACCAACAGAAUAAGCACCGGCUAACUUCGUG